rnacentral:rRNA from 1 species
GACGAACGCUGGCGGCGUGCCUAAUACAUGCAAGUCGAACGAAGCUGUUUUAACUGGUGCUUGCACCGACUUAAACAACUGAGUGGCGAACGGGUGAGUAACACGUGGGUAACCUGCCCCAAAGCGGGGGAUAACAUUUGGAAACAGAUGCUAAUACCGCAUAAUCACAGAAACCACAUGGUUUCUGUGUCAAAGAUGGUUUCGGCUAUCACUUUGGGAUGGACCCGCGGCGUAUUAGCUAGUUGGUAAGGUAAUGGCUUACUAAGGCAAUGAAACGUCGCGGAACUAAGGGGUUGAUCGGCCACAUUGGGACUGAGACACGGCCCAAACUCCUACGGGAGGCAGCAGUAGGGAAUCUUCCACAAUGGACGAAAGUCUGAUGGAGCAACGCCGCGUGAGUGAAGAAGGUUUUCGGAUCGUAAAACUCUGUUGUCAGAGAAGAACGUGUGCGAGAGUAACUGUUCGUGCAGUGACGGUAUCUGGCCAGAAAGCCACGGCUAACUACGUGCCAGCAGCCGCCGUAA